rnacentral:tRNA from 1 species
UAGUGUAAUGAAUCAGCACGGCAGACCGGAUAUCUGUAAGUGCGGGUUCGAGUCCCGC